AUUCACAUUCACAUGCUCAAUACAAUUCCAUACAAUGAAAGCUUGAAUGGCGUGCCUUGUGUCCAUGACCCUCUCUGUACCUCUCUCAGCUUCACAUUGCUUCACAAAGGAAAUACCUCCGAGAAAAUCAGCCAACUCGAGGAACAGGUUUUCUUCUUCAAUCUCUUUUCUCAAUCGCCAGUUAUGCUUGCUGUUUUGGUUUCUAUUUUCAGCUUCAUCGUGUUUAGUUGUCAGUCAUAUACAAAUUUUGUUCUUCGAAAUUUAGUGCUUUUAUUUCUACUAAAAGAAAAUUUGAAAAUCAGAUUUGAGUUGCUUAAAAACCCAUUAGAUGCAUGAAAUUUGUAGAAUCUGUGUGUUUUCACUUCCAGUUAGUCAAAUCGUAUGUCAGGUUGGGGUGUUCCAACAUGAGUCCAGUGUGAAGGGUAGCUUCAUCCCAAGUUCAGCAAGUUAGAAUCUCUUCAAGGCAUGAAAGAAAAGAAAAAAAUUUAAAAAGGAGAGAAAAGGCAUUCCAUUUUCCUGCUUGCUCUGUUAUUUUAAUUGUACGUAUAUGGCUGAAUAGUGUCUUCAGUUUCUCUUCUGUUACAUUACAUGGCAUCUAUUCGCCAGUUUAUUUUAAUUGUACGUAUAUGGAUGAAGAUGUUCUUUGGUCUUGGCUGAGAUUGUGCAUCUUUUAAACUGCCAAAAGAAAAAGCUAUUUAUUGAAGAAGAAAAAAAAAAUGCUCUAAGCUUUUAAUUUCAUCCCUAAAGUCAGCUACUUGUACAACAUAACACAAAACAUUCAACUUACAUUGGCGGGGAACAAUAACAUUAACAUCCCCGUUUCAAUUUGAUGCAAUUCAUGAUGUAUCUAAAUGUAGAUUCAAAGAAAAAUUUUGUGGGGCAAAGCAUGAUCAUGAACGAUGUACAACCCCAUAAUUAAUUAAUAUCCAUGAGGAAAUUAGGAGAGGUUGCAUGUUGAAUCUACCACUUGACAGUAAAGACAGGCUCAUUCUCAUAGACAGACCAUCCAUCCAUCCAUCUGCAGCAAAGUAAUCAAUCUGUACGUGGCAACAAGAAACUAAAGCCGGAGUUCUCACGAAUAAGUGGCGGCGGUUCAAUGUCGGAGAUGUCUAUUUGUUCCAUUGACUUUGAUAUGUCAUCAACUGAAAAUGGAAUGCUGCAGCAUAAAGGGUUACCAAUGAAUAUGGAUAGUGUCAGUCCAAUGUCCAGGAUAUAGAGGUAAACGAGGAAGGAAUGAGAUAUGUUCAGCAAUGACAACAAGCCCUACCAAAAGCAGAACCAAAGAAAGUUAUUUUGUAAUUGUUACCAAAAGUUUCCUUUCUUAAGGUUUCAAUCAGUUUACUUAUGAAAUGCAACUCCAAAUGAAGUAACAAAACAAAUGAAACAGAAGAGAAGAGAAGAGAAAGAAAAGCUGAAUCAGGGUGAUGACAUGAUUAAAUGUUGCAUAACCUGGAAUCGUCAUCCAACAGGAAAGAAUUACUGACAGCAUUGUUGGAAUCUUCUGUCAUCAACACUCUCAUAUUGGAUAUAACCUAGAUGGACCAUUGAAAAAAGAGAAAAAAAUGUGCAAGUAAGUUUUUGGAUGCAUGUUUUCAGUUCAGUUUAGUGUAUUGUAAUUUAUUUUAAUGCUGCGUGACGAAGAUGACUCGAACCUAGCUGAGUAAUGGCAUCCAUAAAAACUUACAUCCGAGGACACACUAUGUGUGCCAUAUUUGUCAUCCCAGUACAUUGUACUGAUACGAUAUAGCUGCUGUAUACUGAGGACCUGUUAAAAAAGAAGUUCGAGGGAGAGGUUAAUAGACUAAAGUAUAGUUUGUUUUA